GGCCCCGCCCCCUGCCCAGGGCCCGGCCCCUCCCACUCUGCUCUGGAAGCAGAUUCUCGUCGCAGGAAGGUUGUGUGCAGUUGCGGGCACCCGGCGGAAAAGUCGUCGCUGAGUGCGGCUCUCCGCUCUUCCGCUUCCAAGUCGCAGGGGCAGGAAGUAGAUCGUGGCCCCCGAGCCGCGAGGGGGCGCGCGCUGGAGGGAGCCUCAGCGCAGCCUCCUAGGGUCUGAGGCAGGCGGGUGAUUUCUGAGCGUCGCUAGUGUUGGAAGAAGCUCCGGGUUGAGCGCACCCUGUUCCGGCAAGCUCUACCGAGGACUUGAGAAUGACCCUGGGGACGGGGGCUGACGAAGUCAGGACGAGUUAGCAGCAGUGUUCCAAGUUUUGGAUUACACUUGUUUUGUGUUUCAAAUGCCCUGGAUUUUGUGCUUGGGUAGGAACCAAGAUAAAUGUUGGAAAGAACUUCAGGCAUCCUAUUGCUGAAGCACGUAUGAACUCACAGAAACUAUGGCAGUACAUACAGGGUCUGCACAAGUCUAAACAAGAUGAGUCAGCAGCUCUGAAAGGGGAAAUGGACAUGAGCUUCCAUACCUAACCAAGAAGGAAUCUCCAACAAUGGAUUGGAAAGGAAAAUGGUUUCGAUCUAAUUUAGUCUCACUGGAUAAAUAAACUACAUUCAAGUGUAUGCCCAAUGCCUAUCAGGAGAUGGCCAACAGAAAAUAAAUGCAAUGGUAUUUUUGUA